rnacentral:rRNA from 1 species
CAGUCGCCACGGUAAUACAGAGGGUGCAAGCGUUAAUCGGAUUUACUGGGCGUAAAGGGCGCGUAGGUGGUUAUGUAAGUGAGAUGUGAAAUCCCCGGGCUCAACCAGGGAACUGCAUCUUAUACUGCGUAGCUGGAGUGCAGUAGAGGGUAGUGGAAUUUCCGGUGUAGCGGUGAAAUGCGUAGAUAUCGGAAGGAACACCAGUGGCGAAGGCGGCUACCUGGACUGACACUGACACUGAGGCGCGAAAGCGUGGGGAGCAAACAGGAUUAGAUACCCGUGUAGUCCCGUCUCUUAUACA